UGCAUUCUUUCGUUCCCCCAUCAAUCUCUCUCCACGCCAAACCUCUGGCUCUAAUCCAAACUCUCUAAAAUCUAAAUCCCUUCUCAUAAACUUCUCCAAUUCAAUUCAACCACCGCAAAAAAUAAUAACAAUAACACACCCACAACAUUUUCCCCAUUCUCCAAUUCUCCCAAGUUCGCCGUAAUGUCCUCCACAGGUCCGCCUGUCCUCCCUAUCUCCACUGUCCAGUCCACCGAAUCGCAGCCACCCAUCUCCGUCUCCGCAUUUCGCGCAUUCCUCUCUCGUCUUAAUGAUUCCUUUCGCAAUGGCAUCUCCCAACGUCGUCCCUGGCCUGAACUAACUGAUAGCUCUGCCUUCUCCAAGCCUGAGUCUUUCUCCGAAGCCACCCUUCGUAUUCGCAAAAAUUACUCCUACUUUCGAGUUAAUUAUCUGAUGGUUAUUGGUUUCACUCUUGCAUUUUCGCUUCUUUCCCACCCCUUUUCCCUUCUCCUCCUUCUAGGCCUUCUCUUCUCUUGGGUCUUCAUGUACCUCUUCCGCCCCGCCGACCAGCCUCUCGUCAUAUUUGGCCGCACCUUCUCUGAUCGCGAGACCCUUGGAAUCCUCAUCAUCUUAAGCGUCUUCGUCAUCUUCCUCACCUCCGUUGGAUCUCUUCUCAUUUCCGCUAUUAUGGUUGGGUUCGGUCUCGUUUGUGCUCACGGUGCCUUUAGGGCCCCUGAAGAUCUGUUCUUGGACGAGCAAGAACCCGCUAACACUGGCUUCUUGUCCUUCCUUGGUGGUGCUGCCUCCAAUGCCGCCGCUGCCGCUGUUCCUGCUGUUUCUGCCACUCGUAUCUAAAGCUUAUCCAAGGAUCGCUCUUUCUCAAUCUCCUUAGCGAGGGGGUGAGCCGAUGAGUGGGUGGCAUCCAUUGUAAAAGAGGAAUGGACUAGUGAAGUCUUUGAUUUGGAGCUCAUGAGAGAUACGCCAACCAUAAAGGAUGAGUUGCUUAAUACAUUGAAACUAGCUCUGCAUUGCGUUGAUUCCUCACCUGCAGCAUGUCGUGGCGAUGAUGGUGCUAAAUUUGCAGCAACGAGUGAAUAGAUUUUCUUUAUUCGUUUACAGCAUUUUAGGGUGCAAAUAUAAUAUGUAUGAAAAUAGGAGAAAGGGAAAGAGGGGGUAUUCUUUCAUUCUUAUUAUUGUUUGUUGUUAUGUGCGGUUUUUUUGCAAAUGUAAAACAUAUCUAUUCUUUUGUAUCAGGAGAUUAAUGUUGUUUUGGAAAAUGAGUAUGACACUUUAUUUCCGUAUUCCAAUUGCCAGGUUUUUACAUGUACAUUAAUGAUGCAGAUGAAUGAAGACACACAAAGCCCUGUAAGAAAGAGAACUGUUUUCUGGCAAUGUUAGAACCCACUGGACUUUCAGUUUUUAACCCAAAUUUUCAGUCGUAAGAGACGGCAAGACCCCUGUUACACGCAAAUGCCUUUUUCUCUCUCCAUCGCAUCACAGUCACCCCAUAGCCGUAACUCUCUGUUUCUCUGAGCUCUCUCACGUCAUGGGCGAUCUGGUAUUGCAGAAAAUAGCAAUAUCUGGGCCAACGCUGGCCUCAAUGAUCCAACGCCUCUCAUCUUCCCCUGCCGACUUAGACGGCCUCCUCUUCGGCCACGUCACUUGCGUAGCCCCUUCUGCCCUCUCCGACGAUUCCGUCCAAUCUACCCCGGAUUCACAACUCGUCGCUACUAUCUCCAGCUUCCUCUCCUUCCCUUCCCUUCUCUCCUUCUAUGACUCACUCGGCCGAGUCGACUCCUCCCGCCUCACCCUUACUAACCUUAAUCAGAAACCCCUCAUCGGCUGGUUCUCCUUUCGCCGGAAAACCCCCCUCCGCCCUUCCAUGCGAGAAUCCUCCGUCACUCGUUCCCUCCCCUCUAACCCCCAACUCUAUCUCCCAAUCCAAAACGCUAGCUCUGAAUCCCUUUUCGCUCCUUCAAUUUUCCUCCUCUUCACCACUCCUCUACAAGACCAAUUCAUCCAAACCUGCCAAUAUCGGGCGUUCCAAUACCAAUCAUCGAACCUCUGUUUUAAUCCCCUGCCGAUCGAUAUAGUCAACAUUGGACCUGCGUUUAGAGGACAUUACGGGGCGUUUAGCCCCACCUCUGCGCUUCCCUUCUUGAACUGCGAGUUAAGAAGCUCAUCGGCGAUCAACGAAUGUAGAAAUGAGGAAAAUUUAAUUGGAAUGAAACGAAUAGCAAAGGAUCAAUCGGAGUUGGAUAUGUGCGCCGAGGGAAUGCAAAUCGGGAGAUUGAAUCAGUUGAUUGGACCGGAAGCCGUUAAUUAUACGGCAGGAUUAGAGGAUCUGUAUAAGAAAAUGCUUUGUAAAAUCGAAAGCUUGGCCAGGCUCGUUGAAGCUAGCUCAGCUAAGGUGGUUGAACAGGAGAAUCACAAUAGAAAGCUAAGAUACAAAGUUGCUAGGUCUGCUGGAUUGGAAUAAUUGCUUCCUUUUGUUUUCUUUUCAAUAUCAUGCCAGGAGUGGACUAGACAAUAUUCUGGAGCUGCAGACAUGUGCUUUUCAAAAGGUUUGAUAGCUCUCACCUGAAAUCAGUUUGCAAAUGCAGAAUUUUGUGUUAUUUCUGAGGCAUUACGAUUCACAUGCAUGCUAUGUUCUUCAUAUGUCACAGAAAUGCAUAAUUUAUAUAAUGUUUUAAGUUGCAAGUCAAGGUUGUUAUCAGCUUUUUCUUUUAAUAAUUAUUCAAACUAGGCUUUAGGUAUCAAAACAUUGUGUAGAAUGUAAUCAUUAUGCUCCGUUUGAUUAUUUGGAUUUGGAUUUCAAUUAUUAUGAAAAUGGUAAGAAUGAAAUGCAUAUAUUAUAGUCAAACUAGUUGAGAUUCAAUCUAAUUAUAUUAGAAAAAGUAUAAAAAUAUGGAUUUGUCAAAUCCAAAUAUAUUUUAAGCAUUUUAAAUUCAUUACUAAAUAGGCUUCUAACAAAUCCGUGGAUUUGCAAAAUGAUCAUGAAGGUUACAUUUCUAAAUAGUUUACUACUCAAUUUACACUUAUUUUUGAAAUCCAAAUCCAAAUUCUAAAAUCAUAGACCUUCAAGAAUUUGGAGAAAGCUUGUGGCUAAUAUAUUGGUGUAUACCUUCUCAUUUCUUUUAUGCAGAAGUGGUUUAUGCUUUGUAUUGUGCAUGUAAUAUUUUACUUUGGAGACCAUUGAUUGAGGGAAAAAAUCCUAAUAGAAAAGAACUCUCUGCAUGUUUAAUCCCUUAUCUUGUUGGUUGCCUUGCUGAGUCUUUGAAGACAAAAUUCUUGAUGUUGGGUGUUUUUUGGAUGAUUGUGCAUGAGUUGAUGGUUUCUUGUGCAUUUUGGCUACUUCAACUUUCUUUCAGGCAGCACAACUGUAUGGUAUAUAGUUGGUGAAUUGAACAGAGAAAUGAAAUGUCAUUUAGUAGGCAUUCUCUUCAUGAGUGUAGGUAAAAAUUAUCCAGCUUAUGAUCACGCAUGGCAUAUCUAGCAAUUCAAUGGAAUUUAUUGACAAGUACUCCCUCAUAAGAGGAUAAGAUACAUUAUAUGAAAAGGUAAAACCGUUAGGAUUUCAUUGAAUAAAACUGUUAGGAUUUCAUUGACAAGGACGUCAAGACAAGACAAGACAAGACAGCCCAUUUUGCAAGAAAUGUAGAUAUUUCCACGGACCAGAAAUUGCUACUUUCUUCUUUAAACCCAGACUAAUAUCUACACACACAGUUGAGGAAAAGCUUGUAGGUUACUGUUAAAAAAGAGUUUUGGGUUUAAUUUUAAGAAUUUUGGUAAUAUACUAGAUAUUUUGGUAAAAUUUUAGAUAUUUAAUAAAUCAAUUAAAUUGAUAGAAAUGUUGGUAAAGUCUUGGUAAAUUCAAAAUGUUAAUUAUUUUGGUAAAAUAUCCAUAUAAAAAUUGGUAAAUUGAUAGAAAUAUUGGUAAAUUCAUAUAAAAUUUGGUAAAAUUAUUAGAAAUAUUGGUAAACUCAUAGAAGUUUUUGUAAAUAGUUAGAAAUUUUGGUACAGUCAAAAAUUUUGUUAAUUCUUAAGACUUGGUAUAGGAUUAGAAAUUUUGGAAAUAUUCAUAAAAUCUUAAAAUUUUUGGUAAAGUCUCAUAAAUAUUGGUAAAUCAAUAGAAAUUUUGGUCGUUAGAUAUAUUGGUAAAUCUUUAGAAAUAUUGGGAAAUAGUUCGAUAUAUUGUAAAAUCCAUAGAUAUUUUGGUAUAUUUAUAGAACUUUUGGUAAUUAUUAAAAUUUGAUAUAGGGUUUAGAAAAUUUGAAAAUAUUGGUAAAAUGUUGGAAAUUUUGGUUAAGUCUCAUAAAUAUUGGUAAAUGUUAGAUAUUUUAGUAAAUUGUUAGAUGUUUUGGUAAAACUUUAAAAAAUUCAAUUUAUUAAAUAUACCAAGAAUCGUUAGAUAUUUUGGUAAAUCUUUAGAAAUAUUGGUAAAGUCUCAUAAAUCUUGAUAAAAUCGAUAGAAAUUUUGGUAAUUGUUAGGACUUGGUAUAGUGUUUAGAAAAUUUGGGAAUAUUGGUAAUGUCUCAUAAAUAUUGAUAAAAGAUAGAAAUUUUGGCAACUUGUUAGAUAUAUUGGUAAGUUCUUAGAAAUAUUGGUAAAUCGUUAAAUAUAUUGGUAACUUGUUAGAUAUUUUGGUAAAUCCUAAAUAUUUUGGUAAAAUUAUAGAAAUUUUGAUAAUUGUUAAGACUUGGUAUGGUGUUUAGAAAUUUUGGUGAAGUCUCAAAAGUAUUGGCAAAAGGGUAGAAAUUUUGGUAAAUCUUAGAAAAUUUGAUAAACUAUUAGAUAUAUUGGUAAAACAAUAGAAAGUUUGGUAAAUCCUUAGUUAUUUUGAUAAACCCUUUAAAAUUUUGGUAAACUUUUUAAUAUAUUGGACCUCGAGUUGCAAAGCGAUCUCGUUUUCUCAAGUGAUGACGCCAUAUUCACAUGGCAGGCGAAAUUUGUAGGUUAUUGAGCUCCAUGACAUCACUGUGAAUCCAAACACAACUUAAAACUAUGACUACGUCUCCCUUAAAGCGAGAGAAAUAAAUCUUUAAACCCGAAAAUUUCAACACGCAAAAAGAAGAAAAAAAUAAUUUAGAGGAAAUUGAGAUGUGGUGAGUAGGGGGAUGAAGAAGGGUGUUUAUAUAAGGGAUAGGGUGGGGUACAAAGGGGACAAAAUUUAUCUCGAGAAUCCCAGUUGCAGGGCUCAUAAGUAAUCAAGUCAAGGUGGUUGAAAUGGCUAGAAAAGAAAUGCUCCUUACAGGGGGUGUUUUCCUCUGACAUGUCAAACAUGUGACUCGAAAACGCAUCCUGUAUUAAAUGUUUUCAUUCCCAUGUUAGAGGAAAACACCCCAUGUAGGGAGCGUUUUCUCUCUGGCCAUUUCAACCACAAAACUAGAACUUUUCCAAAGCAAAAUAAAUAAAAAAAUUAGUAUGAUGAACUUGAAUCGUUAAUUAACUUGAUUGCAUACAAACUAAACCAAUUUAAUAAAUUUGUUUUGUACAUUAUAAGUAAGUGUACCUUUCGAAUGUAAAACAAAGUAUAAAAAAAUUACAAAAUAACGUAAUCAUGGGUGUCCCGAAUGUGUGCCACAAUAGGGUGGGCGUCGAGCACGCCUAAGGUUCUGUCGCACUAUUGCGUUUGGCGGCUGCUCGUCGACUUCGACCUCACCUUGACAUGCACGUCUCAAUCUCUGACAUUGUCUCCUUCCUCUGUGGUUGAACCCGAUCGUGUCUUAGCCACCCAUCGUGGAUUCCCCCGGGUUGAUUCAACGGUUGCGAGGACGGCCCACCUUGGUAGAACAAUCAAUGAGCCACUAUAUGGUGUCACCUAGCUCGAUUGCGAAUAGAAGGUGGGAACUAAAGGUGAUACCGAAUGUGUCAGUGUUGUUGGCGGGACAGGCAUGUAAUAUGGCACGGUGGGUAUCGGUCGUGCAUAAUAUAUCCCUAGAGAAGGUGUUGAUGCAGGAAAUGAUGGAGCAUGUUGUGGUGAUUGUUUAAAAUAAACUGGUGCUAAAUGUGUUGAUGUAUAGAAUGAUUGUGCAUGUUGUGGUGAUUAUGUAAAAUAAACCAUAAUUGAAGGUGA